GAAAAGAUGCCUGAACAAAGGAAUACACUGAUACUGUACUUACGCGAAUUAUCGCUCUUUUCG
rnacentral:tRNA from 1 species